rnacentral:rRNA from 1 species
AUGUCACUUUUCCCGGUUCGAGAUGUUUCAACUUUUGUUUUCCGGAGUUCCAUGUUUUCCGCUUUAUCUCGUCGCGAAGCUCCAUCUAAAUCAUCGCAAGGUUUCACCUUGUGUUUUCAACUUUCGUUUCGUUUGAUCAUUCUUUUAUUACCAGGAGAUAUUAAUGGAGGCUCUACAUGGUGGUUCGUCAAGGAUUCUUUUCAUUCUCGAAUUGUUCUUCAAAAUUCUUGUUGGAGGAGUUCAAGUAUUCUUCAUCUUGCAUUCCGAAUUGCAAUUCUCUCUAUCUUAUCUUUUGAGAUGGUGUUAUGUCAUUCUUGA